AGUAACACGUAUGCAACCUACCUGUAAAUGGGGAAUAACCCAAAGAAAUUCGGACUAAUACCGCAUAAUACUGUAAAGCCGCAUGGUUUAGCAGUUAAAUAUUUAUAGUUUACAGAUGGGCAUGCGUAUGAUUAGCUAGUUGGUAGGGCAACGGCCUACCAAGGCAACGAUCAUUAGGGGUUCUGAGAGGAAGGUCCCCCACAUUGGAACUGAGACACGGUCCAAACUCCUACGGGAGGCAGCAGUGAGGAAUAUUGGUCAAUGGACGAGAGUCUGAACCAGCCAAGUCGCGUGAAGGAAGAAGGUUCUAUGGAUUGUAAACUUCUUUUGCAGGGGAAUAAAGUGCGCUACGUGUAGCGUUUUGUAUGUACUCUGCGAAUAAGGAUCGGCUAACUCCGUGCCAGCAGCCGCGGUAAU
rnacentral:rRNA from 1 species